GACGAACGCUGGCGGCGUGCCUAAUACAUGCAAGUUGAGCGAUGAAGAUUGGUGCUUGCACCAAUUUGAAGAGCCGCGAACGGGUGAGUAACGCGUGGGGAAUCUGCCUUUGAGCGGGGGACAACAUUUGGAAACGAAUGCUAAUACCGCAUAAUAACUUUAAACAUAAGUUUUAAGUUUGAAAGAUGCAAUUGCAUCACUCAAAGAUGAUCCCGCGUUGUAUUAGCUAGUUGGUGAGGUAAAGGCUCACCAAGGCGAUGAUACAUAGCCGACCUGAGAGGGUGAUCGGCCACAUUGGGACUGGGACACGGCCCAAACUCCAACGGGAGGCAGCAGUAGGGAAUCUUCGGCAAUGGACGAAAGUCUGACCGAGCAACGCCGCGUGAGGGAAGAAGGGUUUCGGAUCGUAAAACUCUGUUGGUAGAGAAGAACGUUGGUGAGAGUGGAAAGCUCAUCAAGUGACGGUAACUACACAGAAAGGGACGGCUAACUACGUG
rnacentral:rRNA from 1 species